AAUACUAGUUGAAGCAAUAAAGUUGAGAGCAUUCAAUCUACAGAUUCUGCUUUCAUCUAACGGUAUUUCUCUGGAUCUCGACGAUCUGAUUGACGGCACAGGAGCAACGCGAUCAAGUUAAUUUCAGGAGCGGCGUAACCAGAUUGGCGGCAUAGGACGGCGUUACCAGAGGUAAUCGCAGGAGCGGCUAACCAGAGGUAAUCUUUUAUUCCGCGAAAGAUUUUUGGGUUUUGGUUUUCUCUACCAUUCACCCCCCUCUGGUAGGUCUGUUUAACUCUGUUUCGAUCCUACAGAGGUACUAGCUUUGUCAUGGGAGGAGUUGAGGGAGGUCGCCAAGAGGGACGUGAGCCAAGCUUUGGUGAUCACCAAGCCCGUUUACCAUCGAAUUGAGCUAGAAGCCGUAGCUGAAGGACACGCAACCCACUGUGAGCCGGAGACCGCUCUGAGGCUUGUAGGUGAGGCUAAAGCCACCGCCAAAUCGAUUGUUGAAUGCAUGGACCUGUAAGGGAAUAGAUAACUUUUGAUAGUAUGCUGUUCUUGUCUUAGUGUGAUGUAAUGACAAAGGAUAUAGCUGGUUCGUGAUGAAGAUCAUGUUGUUUGGCUAUUAUUGUAAGUCUUUUGGCUGAUUGAGAUUUUGUAAUCCGAAAUGAGCUAUGAAAACCCGUGCUGUGUAACUAUCCCAACAACCCCCGAGAAGAUUUAGCCAGCACGGAGUGUACCGUUG
rnacentral:lncRNA from 1 species